CCUACGGGUGGCAGCAGUGGGGAAUAUUGCACAAUGGGGGAAACCCUGAUGCAGCGACGCCGCGUGAGUGAAGAAGUAUUUCGGUACGUAAAGCUCUAUCAGCAGGGAAGAAAAUGACGGUACCUGACUAAGAAGCCCCGGCUAACUACGUGCCAGCAGCCGCGGUCAUCCGUAGGGGGCAAGCGUUAUCCGGAUUUAAUGGGUGGAAAGGGAGCGUAGACGACAUCGCAAGUCUGAAGUGAAAUGCCAUGGCUUAACCAUGGAACUGCUUUUGAAACUGGGAAGCUUGAGUGCAGGAGAGGUAAGCGGAAUUCCUAGUGUAGCGGUGAAAUGCGUAGAUAUUAGGAGGAACACCAGUGGCGAAGGCGGCUUACUGGACUGUAACUGACGUUGAGGCUCGAAAGCGUGGGGAGCAAACAGGAUUAGAUACCCCUGUAGUC
rnacentral:rRNA from 1 species